UACGAAGGAUGCAAGCGUUAUCCGGAUUCACUGGGUUUAAAGGGUGCGUAGGUGGGUUGGUAAGUCAGUGGUGAAAUCCCCGAGCUUAACUUGGGAACUGCCAUUGAUACUAUCAGUCUUGAAUACCGUGGAGGUUAGCGGAAUAUGUCAUGUAGCGGUGAAAUGCUUAGAUAUGACAUAGAACACCAAUUGCGAAGGCAGCUGGCUACACGAAUAUUGACACUGAGGCACGAAAGCGUGGGGAUCAAACAGG
rnacentral:rRNA from 1 species